GGGUUGUGAGGUUAAGCGACUAAGCGUACACGGUGGAUGCCCUGGCAGUCAGAGGCGAUGAAGGGCGUGCUAAUCUGCGAUAAGCGCCGGUAAGGUGAUAUGAACCGUUAUAACCGGCGAUACCCGAAUGGGGAAACCCAGUGUGACUCGUCACACUAUCAUUAACUGAAUCCAUAGGUUAAUGAGGCGAACCGGGGGAACUGAAACAUCUAAGUACCCCGAGGAAAAGAAAUCAACCGAGAUUCCCCCAGUAGCGGCGAGCGAACGGGGAGGAGCCCAGAGCCUGAAUCAGCAUGUGUGUUAGUGGAAGCGUCUGGAAAGGCGCGCGAUACAGGGUGACAGCCCCGUACACAAAAGCGCAUGUGCUGUGAGCUCGAUGAGUAGGGCGGGACACGUGGUAUCCUGUCUGAAUAUGGGGGGACCAUCCUCCAAGGCUAAAUACUCCUGACUGACCGAUAGUGAACCAGUACCGUGAGGGAAAGGCGAAAAGAACCCCGGCGAGGGGAGUGAAAAAGAACCUGAAACCGUGUACGUACAAGCAGUGGGAGCACCCUUUGGGUGUGACUGCGUACCUUUUGUAUAAUGGGUCAGCGACUUAUAUUCUGUAGCAAGGUUAACCGAAUAGGGGAGCCGGAGGGAAACCGAGUCUUAAUUGGGCGUUAAGUUGCAGGGUAUAGACCCGAAACCCGGUGAUCUAGCCAUGGGCAGGUUGAAGGUUGGGUAACACUAACUGGAGGACCGAACCGACUAAUGUUGAAAAAUUAGCGGAUGACCUGUGGCUGGGGGUGAAAGGCCAAUCAAACCGGGAGAUAGCUGGUUCUCCCCGAAAGCUAUUUAGGUAGCGCCUCGUGAAUUCAUCUCCGGGGGUAGAGCACUGUUUCGGCUAGGGGGCUAUCCCGGCUUACCAACCCGAUGCAAACUGCGAAUACCGGAGAAUGUUAUCACGGGAGACACACGGCGGGUGCUAACGUCCGUCGUGAAGAGGGAAACAACCCAGACCGCCAGCUAAGGUCCCAAAGUCAUGGUUAAGUGGGAAACGAUGUGGGAAGGCCCAGACAGCCAGGAUGUUGGCUUAGAAGCAGCCAUCAUUUAAAGAAAGCGUAAUAGCUCACUGGUCGAGUCGGCCUGCGCGGAAGAUGUAACGGGGCUAAACCAUGCACCGAAGCUGCGGCAGCGACGCUUAUGCGUUGUUGGGUAGGGGAGCGUUCUGUAAGCCUGCGAAGGUGGCCUGUGAGGGUUGCUGGAGGUAUCAGAAGUGCGAAUGCUGACAUAAGUAACGAUAAAGCGGGUGAAAAGCCCGCUCGCCGGAAGACCAAGGGUUCCUGUCCAACGUUAAUCGGGGCAGGGUGAGUCGACCCCUAAGGCGAGGCCGAAAGGCGUAGUCGAUGGGAAACGGGUUAAUAUUCCCGUACUUGGUGUUACUGCGAAGGGGGGACGGAGAAGGCUAUGUUGGCCGGGCGACGGUUGUCCCGGUUUAAGCGUGUAGGCUGGUUUUCCAGGCAAAUCCGGAAAAUCAAGGCUGAGGCGUGAUGACGAGGCACUACGGUGCUGAAGCAACAAAUGCCCUGCUUCCAGGAAAAGCCUCUAAGCAUCAGGUAACAUCAAAUCGUACCCCAAACCGACACAGGUGGUCAGGUAGAGAAUACCAAGGCGCUUGAGAGAACUCGGGUGAAGGAACUAGGCAAAAUGGUGCCGUAACUUCGGGAGAAGGCACGCUGACACGUAGGUGAAGUGAUUUACUCACGGAGCUGAAGUCAGUCGAAGAUACCAGCUGGCUGCAACUGUUUAUUAAAAACACAGCACUGUGCAAACACGAAAGUGGACGUAUACGGUGUGACGCCUGCCCGGUGCCGGAAGGUUAAUUGAUGGGGUCAGCGCAAGCGAAGCUCCUGAUCGAAGCCCCGGUAAACGGCGGCCGUAACUAUAACGGUCCUAAGGUAGCGAAAUUCCUUGUCGGGUAAGUUCCGACCUGCACGAAUGGCGUAAUGAUGGCCAGGCUGUCUCCACCCGAGACUCAGUGAAAUUGAACUCGCUGUGAAGAUGCAGUGUACCCGCGGCAAGACGGAAAGACCCCGUGAACCUUUACUAUAGCUUGACACUGAACAUUGAGCCUUGAUGUGUAG
rnacentral:rRNA from 1 species